rnacentral:lncRNA from 1 species
GCGGAGGUUUAGCCUAGCAGAGGUGGGGUUAUAGACUUGGGCCGAGGGGGCGGAGCUGAGACCAGGCUUCGCAGGCCCCGCCUCCAAUCCUGCCAGCAUCCCUGAUUGGCCGGAGCUGUCCGAGGGCUGGUUCUGAGGGCUCCUGCGGGGAGUGAAAGCAUAGCAGAAAAGAGCUUUGGGCGCUGGAGGGAAAGGGGAGAGGAAAGUUUGGACCACAGGCCAGGUAGGGAUUCCACAGGAACGCCUGCGACGGUGGACCAGCGAUGGGAAAGAACAGUGUGUGUUCAGGUGAUCCAGGCGUCCGGUUGGGCUGGAGAGGAGUGCUGAGGGCUCAUGUUCUGCUGUGUGAAAACCCACUAGGACUCUAUUUCCUGAAGAAUACAUUCUGGAGUUGGAGUCUUCAAUUAACCUCUUAUUCUCUGUCUACAUAAGCUUUAUCUCCCUACAUCUCUACAUUUCCCCCAAUAAGGGGAGUACUGAGGAAGAUAAAAUGGGCCCCGUGAUUCUUCCAGCCAAGGACCCCCAAGUAAGUGAGAGUUUCCUUUUUCCUAAUAUAAUGUGUUGGUUCUCAAAGUAUGGACACGUUUUCCU